rnacentral:lncRNA from 1 species
AGGAUCGGUCAAAGCAAAAAAAAAAAAAAAAAAAAAAAAGGAACGCUCCCUUUUGUGCGCCAGCCCGCCGCCGCCUCCUCCCGCCGGAGCCGCUCAGCUCCUCCUAGCGCGCGCCAGCCCGCUGCCGCCGCCUCCCGCCGGAGCUGCUCGCCUCCUUCACGUGCUCGCCCGCCGGAGCCGCCUCACCCUACCCACCGCUGCCUGCUUCCCUGCUCGCGCCGCGCCGUGAUGGAGAGGAAAGAGAGGCGGGGUCUGCUCGCCCUACCCCGCCGCCUCCUCGCGUGCGCAGGCCGGACAUCCGGGCGUCGCCGCCGGAAAGGGGAUAUGAGGUGGCGGAGAUUCUUGCUAGGAGGAGGAGAGGGGGCCAUUGGAGGAGGGCUAGAGGUCGCUGCGCAUGGCCCGUGGGCGGAGGACGUCAGCGUCGGCGAGGUUGACUGGGCAAGAGGCGAGCGUCAACAGACGUUCCAGGGAGGAGCAGUCCGCUGGCGCGGUCGCAUGAGAGGUGUCAUAGCGUUCUUCAAAUCCAGGGUAGUAUUAUACGGAUUUGAUCUAUUUUGCAUACAUUGUGCCUGUAAAUUUUUGCAUGAAAAUGUAUCCAAGAGCACAAGGCUGCAUAGAGAUUGA